UUUUUUUUCCUCAAUUGAUUUACACCAAGUAGUAAGGCGAAAUUACCUUUAUAGGCUCAAGGACAUUUGGUUCAGUUCAAGGUGGAGCAAACGAGGUACUAAGGCAGGAUCGCCUUCCUCCAAAUCACCCAUUAAGUCGAUAAAGUUUUGACCUUAAGGCUACCCUUUUCCGAUGGGAAGAUAGGGUUUUCUACUUGGUCUUUCAUUCAUCAGCUUCGCCCUAGUGCACAUCUUCGACGUGAGGGUAUAAGUCGAAUCGCCUAUGAAGAAUGUAUACAGUGGUGGGGUCUUGAUAACGCCUUCUCUUUCAAUGAUUAUCUAUAAAGUUAGAGCUGGAACAAUAGGAGCUACUAGCACGACAAUAGCUGCCUGUCUAAAGAGAAGUGCCGACUAGUGCAAAAAGGCAUCCUAACUGGGUUGCUCAGGACCAACUGGACCCUGAUCUGCAGCACCGGUUGGAGCAACAAGAGGGGCAAAAUUCUCCACCUACUCAUCCACAACAUGUGCAGAGCGAGAAACAGAAAAGUUAGACUAAAGAUGUAAACGCUACUGACUGGAGUAUCGACUUUAUGAUCCUAAAAAUCUAUUGUGGUGCAAAACCUGCUACUAACAACCUGCGCAUGACAAGUCAACGUGAUAAGCAUAAAGCUUGGUGGUGCUUCAUAUCCCAAAAAUCGAUAUAUUCACCAAGCAUACUCAAAUAACACAAUAAGCAUAUACAUUGCACUAUAAUUCAAUUUAAGCAUCAUUCCACAUUUAAUUGUUAACAUCAUUAUCAAUUCAUAUUAUCCAACCAGAAUAUUCCAUCAUAAGUAUUAAAGCAUCUAAUCAUCAUUUAUGCAUUAUUCACAUUUAUAUCAAGCAUAAGAAAUCAUUUCCAGCGUGUAUUAAUCAUAAUCGUACUUAUUUCCAAGAUUCAUAAUAUUUAAUUAUAAUUCAAAUAUAAAUCAUACUUAGCAAUAUUUAAUCAUUUUUAAUUACUUCUAAACAUUAUUUAAUUUUUAGGCCUUAAACAUAGUUAUAAGGAUCAAAAAGUAGAUAGAGGAAUAUAAAUUUAUAACAUAAUCAUAUGGUCUGAAGACCAGCUCAAAAGCCUAAAUAUGUCAUAGAAGCUCAUAAACUCAAUAUAACAUAAGACACCAAAAUCCACAAUCACAUUCGGAGGAUGUACAUACAUAACGUAUUAAUAUUGUAGAACAUAUAUGACAUAUCAAUAACCGUAUAUAGCUAAUGACAUCGAUCAAGAAUACUAAAUGCUAUAAAAAUGCUCCAUUAUUUAAUACUUAUCAUGGAUUAUUUAAUUUUCUAUAAUAAAAUCAUUUAAGAUUCCAUGAAAUCAUAUUUCAAGAUAUUUUUCAAAAAAUUCAUAUACUUGUCAAAUUAUUUUCAAUCCAUUUCACAUAAUUUCACACAUUUUAUUCAAUUUUCAUAAAUAAGCAUAAUUAAUCACAUAUCAUAAUUAUUCAUCAUAAUAAAUAGGAAAAAUUACAUUACAAUCGAUGUGGUUUGCGAAAUACGACUAUUUCGUCCCUAUAUUUUUUAAAAUAUACAAAUUUAUUCCUAUGUUUUGUUUCCGUUAUACUACUAGGUCCUUUUGUCCAUUUUGUACAUCUUUUCCGUCAAGUCAAUAAGAAAAUAUAGAGGUUAAAAGAGAGAUACUAAAACAUUAUAACAAAAAAAAUUACAGUACAGUCCUAUAGUUUGAGAAAAGCCAACUAAUCUGUCCUUAUGUUUUUAAAAGUAAAAGAGAUAUUUUCAUCAUUUCAUAAUGCACUUAAUGGGAAAAAUGCAAAUUUUAGACAUAAAGAUUUUAUAGUAUGACGAAAGUAAACUAUAAAAAUGUUUUAGUCUAUUUUUAAAAAGAUAGAGAUGGACUAGUUAUAUUUCACAAUCCACAGGGAUCCUACUAUACUUUUCCCUAAUAAAUAUCAUUCCAUAAUUAAUAAUUCAUUUAAUCAUAAUUCAAGCCACUUCUCGUAAUCACACAUAAUAAUUAUUAAUUCACAAAUAGACACUCAUAAAUUUUUCUCUAUCAUAAUUAAUACCAUAAAUCAUCAUUUUUACACAAUUUAGGGCAUAAAUACUUAAUUCACAUUCAUAGCUAAUAUGCCACAUCUAUUUAUAAAAUACUAUUUUUAAUUCAAAAAUUUAAAUAGUAAUUCAAUUUACCGCAUAAUAAUUCAAAAUAUCAUAAUCAACAUAAUUAAUAUAGUUAUUGCUUAAUUUGACUCAAAUCAGUCAAAUUAAAUGCUAACAUCUAAAGAAUUGAUUAUCUACAAUUUAGUCCUCCAAUUAACUUAAUAUACCUAUUUUAACUACUUUAACUUAUUAAUUUCAUAAUUAAUUAAAUUAAGCAUCUAAUCAAACAUAAAUAUUUCAAUUAAGUACCUAAUUGAAUUAAAUUUUGCAUUUAAGUCAAAUAUUCAUUUAAGUCCAAAAGCCCAAUGGCCCUCCAAUUAGUCCUUAGGUUCUUGGAAAAUAUCCCUUUUCGUCCUUAUCGUUAGUAAUUGUCCAAAUGUCCAAUUAGGUCCUUAUUUAAGUUUAAUUUUGCAAAGGUAUCUAAAUUUACAUCUAAGUCCUAAAGUCCUUGAAUUUAAUUUUAAUUUAGGUCCUUUAGUCCUUCAUAAACUUCUUUUGAGUCCUUUAAUUAAUUAAAUUGUCCAAUUAGGUCCUCAUAGUGUUCGGCCUCUUUAGGAAUUCUUUCAAUUAAGUCCAAAAUUCCAUUUUUAAUCACAUUAAACGCCUUAAGUCAUCCAUAAACAAGAUUAAACACUUAAAUCCUUCACAUAAUCAACAAAAAUCAUAGAACCCCUUCAAGGAGGUUCGACAAACGUAUAGAAAUACGUAAUCAAGCUUUUUACUUUAAAUCAAAGGUACAUAACAUAAUGUCAUCACAUGAAUCAACAUAAUAAAGCAUUAAAGCAUGGAAAACAAACAUAAAAAUGAAGAAUUUCCUCCCAUGGAGAUUCAACCAACAUAAGAUUUGCAUACCAAGAGCAUUUAAUUUUUGACAAAGGCAAAAUCACAUAUUUACCAUAUAAUUAAAUACAUUCAAAUACUCAAUUUCAUCAAAAUCCAUCAUUUACACACAUUAAUUGAAAAAUCAUACGAAAAUCCUAAAACACCAAAUUUCGAAAGAAUGACAUAGAAUGCACUAACCUUAAAUUAGUGUUUAAAACCUCAUAAUCACCUUCAAAGGCUCUUUUCCCUUAGCUUUGGAGGUAGAACCAUCUAAAAAGAAAAUAAAUCCAAAAAAAAAUGAAUAGACUACAUAAAAACGAGACCUUAAUGUAUUAAUGACAUGAGAAAAUGCAUGAGAAUAUAUUUCUAGCCUUAGAUUGAAAAACCUUUAUUUUCUUCGAUGAGAGAGAAAGAGGUAGAAUGGAAAAUGUGAAAGAAAGCUUACAAAAAACACUAGAUAUCUGAGUUUAGGUGUAGGAAUUCAUCUGUUUAGCUUAGGAAUUCAUAGAGUCUUGCUUCAAUUUGUGCAAAAAUGAAGAUUUGUGAAGUGAGAAGAAGAAAGAGAGAGAGAGAGAGACAGAGAGAGACAGAGAGAGAGAGAAGCGGCAUGGCUAGGUUUUGGGAAGGAGGAAGAAGAAGUUGCAACAUGUUAAUUUUGGUUUUAGAUGAGUUUUAGGGUCAUUUGCUCUGUUCUCAAAAUGGAUAGUGAAAAUUAGAACAUGAAAUCUCAUCCAAUAGCCAAUAUUGAUUCAUUAAUGCAAAAUGGUAAAUUGUGUUUAUAUAAAGACAUUUAACAAAACAAAGUCAAUAAACUCUUUAGAAUAGGUGGCUAGAAUUAAACACUACUCUAACUCUUGCUACACUUAAUCAAAACUCUAUAAUUUCCAUAUGUCAUGCCAAAUCUCUACACAGGAGAAAAUACUAAAAUACCCCUAUGACAUAAUAAUCAAAUAUUGUAUAAAUUAAAUAAAUUAUUACUAAACACAUAAAUUCUAAAACACAUAUAAUAACAUAAUUAUGAAUUAUUUCAUCACCGGAUUAAUUUAAAGUACCAAACCCUCUCAGCAACCCAUAUUUGUAAUUAAGGAAGAUCCUGAGGAUUACUUAGAGACCUCUCUCUUUGAGCAAGUCUUUUUGUUAGAGAAGGAUGAUGUGAAGACUUAACUCACCACCCUAGUUCAACCCGCCCAUGGACCGUUGAAUAAUUGGAGCUAUGAUGGUGCAUAUCUUAUUGUUGAGAUGGUUUCCCAGUCUGAGUCUGAGUAUAGUAAUAGCAUUGGGUCUUCUAGUGAGUCUUCUGUUUCGAACCUUGAAGGUCCAUGUUUUAAUUGUAAUGUAACUUUGGACCUUAGUGGUCUAACUUUUAAUAAGAAUUUUUAGUUUUUUGAUUACUUGUCCUCAUCUCCUUUUUCAUCUUCAUAUUCAUUUGAUUCAAUAAAAAAUGAUACAUUACAUGAAAUAAUAAAAACUGAAAAUGAAAAAGAACAUGUAAAUAUUGGCCAGGAAAAAUAUCCUAAGCAAACCUUCAUUAACCCAGGGUAUUGAUAUAGAUUGGUUUUCAUGGAAGACUGAAGACAUGGAAGGAAUAGAUCCAAAAAUAGCAUCUCACAAAAUCCCAACCUAUGAGCAUGUCAAACCGGUUAAACAUAAAUUAAGGAGAUUGAAGUCGGAGUGGUCUUUGAAGAUCAAGGAAAAAGUCACCAAGCAACUGAAUAACACGUUUAUUGAGCUAAUCGCAUAACCUAAAUGGUUAGCCAACAUAAUACUGGUUCCCAAGAAGGACGAAAAGUUUCCUCUACGAUACAUUGACUUGCCAGUUGACUGCAUGGCUAGUUAUAAAGUAAUCUCCUAAAUUGAUUAUGGUACUUCCACCAGACAAAGAGAAGACAACGUUCAUUGCAGAAUGGGGUGAUCUAAUCUUAUUUGUACUUUCAUUUUAGUUUAGUUUUUGUUCUCUUUAAUGUUGAAUUUAUUUUAUUGCUUCUUUCAUGGCUUUAUGUUGUUGUUUUAUUAUAAAUGCCAUUUUUCUUCAUCUUAAGUUUAUUUUUCAGGAACAUUAUUAAUCAAGGCCAAAUAAUUGAUCAUUUUAAUCGAAAACCUAGUUACUGAAUCGUCACAAUCCAAAACCAUUGGUCAGACCGGCACUGGGGCCUAAGUUAGCUUAAAGCCGUUGAAGCCCGUAAUAAGCCUAAUAUAUGAAAACCCAUUUCUUUUAAAAGCUGACUCUACAAACAAUAAGCCCAUAUUUCGACGUUAUGUAAUUAAUUUGUCAAAUUAUAUAUCUGGCCCGGCUUCAAUAUCUCAUAUAGUUCAUAGUUCAAGCUUGUAUAUAUAUCGUAUAAUUCACGUCAUUCAUAAUAUGGGCAAAUUGGUCCAUUCAUAACAUUUAAAGAGGCAAAUAAAAUAUAAUCUACAGGUUUACUAACCAGCACACUAUUAAUUCUUACAUAAUAAGAUGUAAAACAAAACAUCGUAACUGCAGAACCCAAUAAAUGGAUGCAGAUUGUUCAUACACACAAUACUAUAUAUAUUAACAUUAUCAAAAAUUGAAAAUUACUAUUGAGUCUCUGCGAAGAAAGAUGCAGAGCUUAUCUGGAUCAACAAAAUGUCUACCUCUUGGAAAAAAAUUUAAAGGAAAAGGGUGAGUUUCACAAACUCAAUAAAUAAUAAUAAAUAAUACAUAAUCCAAAAAAUCACAUAAAAUAUUUUCCAAAUUUGUAUAAUUAAUAUACAAUUAAUCAAGCAUAUGUCCAGCAUCAGCACCUUCAAUAAUAUCAACUUUAAGUAAUCACAUCAAAUGGAGAUUGGUCAGAGGCGUCACAAAACCCCCGAUAAGACAUCCCCGCACAUGGCCUGUCCUCUCAUACGUAUGCACUAGGGAGCCGAUCCCAUACAUGGUCAACCAGUCUGAUCCUCACUUGACCAGUUGUCACAACCUGUUUCCAUGAGCCGGACCGGCACUAGGACCCAAGUAAGCUUAAGGCUCCCGAGGCCCGUAGUAAGCCUAAACACUAAAAUCUACUAUCUCAAUAUAAAUUUCAAACAUUCAACCCAUAUUACUAGAAAAAAAUAAACCUCAAGAUUUUAUUACCAAAUUUAUCAUCUUCAACAUUUCACAGUUCAAGCUCAAUUUACAAUACAUCACAUUUCUAAUAUGGGCUCACAGAAUUAUUUCAUCUAUAUUAAUACACGACUAAAUGUAUGUAAAUCCAACAACUGCAGAGUCACUAACUGUUAGAUAUACAUAGAUUGUUAUACAUAUAGUUACAUAGCAAAAUAAUUAUUGAACUAGGAAAAUUUCUUUCUAGUCCUGCGGCGAAGAAACAUAGCUUAAACCGAAUUUAAGAGAAACUUACUUCCUGAAAAAUUAAACAAGACAUGUGAGUUUUCUAAGGAGUAAUAAUUAUUGCACAACACACGCAUUCACACAAAUGUGUAAANNNNNNNNNNNNNNNNNNNNNNNNNNNNNNNNNNNNNNNNNNNNNNNNNNNNNNNNNNNNNNNNNNNNNNNNNNNNNNNNNNNNNNNNNNNNNNNNNNAAUCACAUCACGUGGAAAUUGGUUUGUGGUGUCACCGACGCCCCCAAUGAGUCGUUCUCACACAUGGUCCACCCUCUCAUAACGUGUGCACCAAGGAGCCAAUCCCCCAUACAUGGCCGACCGGUCUAAUCCUCACUUGACCAGCCCUCUCAUUGUUUUUCCAUUCUCUCUUUUCUUUUCCAUACCACCAGGAGGCCACCCUGUGGUUUAUUCAUAUUAUCCAUAUCAUAUCAUCAAGUGCACACGGGGUGCCGAUCUCCCAUAUGGCCAACGGUCUCGUAGACCGCCCUCACAAACCCAUGGUAACCCAUUUCAUUCCAACUCCACACAUACAAGGCAUAACAUUAUCAUAACACAAUUAAUCAAGUAUUGCAAUUAAAUGCAAGCAUAGCAAACAAUUAAUUAACAUGAUGCAAAUACACAAGUAGACAUUCAUAGUUAAUUAUAAUUAAAUAGAGAAAUAGUAAUCAACANNNNNNNNNNNNNNNNNNNNNNNNNNNNNNNNNNNNNNNNNNNNNNNNNNNNNNNNNNNNNNNNNNNNNNNNNNNNNNNNNNNNNNNNNNNNNNNNNNNNNNNAAUAAUUAGAAAACUUUAUUUAUUAUGUAUUAAGUUAAAGAAUUAAUCUAAUAAACCAAUUAAUUUAAUUAUUGAUUAAGACUAACCUAGGUUCUAUCGAAAUUUCGGCGGAAUCUCCCCUAGAAUUUGAUCAAACCAUAAUUCAAUAACAAAUUUUCAAAGCCCAUCCAUCGGGCAAUUCACAUCAACUCAUCCCAUCCGCCAUAACCAUAAUCAUUCAUUCAAUCUUCUUACUCAAUUCACACAGCCCAUGCAUCGGGCAGUCAAUCCAAAUAACCCAUCCUCUUUAGUCUACAUACGUCAUCCAUCACACACACGCGUAUUCAAUUAACAGCUCCAAACCAAUAAUCAAUAAGUUAUAUUAGCCUUUGAGCAUAUUUCAAUGAUAUUAUUAAGUGUUCUAUACCUAGUUACCAAAGAACUAAACAUUUUAUAAUAAAACUUGAUUCGCCAAGUUAAAUACAGGGACUCUCAUUUGAUAGUUUCUAUAUUAUACUUACUCGUCUAAGCCUUAGAUUUUAAUUUACCCCUAACAAUAAUUUUAUCAAAUUCCUAAGUCAACCACCAUAAUUAUUAACUAAUAUUAAAUUUUCUAAUUAUAACUAAUAUUCAUGAAAUGUAUUUAGUAAUAUUCAAAAUUGAUUGCUUCUAACAAUAUGCCCCAAACUAAUUCUUAACAAGAAUUAUAUCAAACUAAUUAUUUUUUAGAAUUCAAUUUAUUCAACUAUAAAUUUUAGAUUUGGAAUUUAUAUUGAAAAUGAGAGAAUAGGUCUUAGGACAUACCGACUGAGAAUCGGACUACAAUUCCACGAUUCGCGCAAAAAGGAGAUCAUUCUGUCUCUUGGGGGCCUCGCCGGAGUGUCGCCGGCCGAUCACCGGACCGCCGCCGCCGGCCGCCGUGCACGAUGACCGGAAAAUUCCAAACAACCCAGAAAUUUGCAUGAAUUCCACCACCCGGCUCGAAAUUUCAUGGGGAACUCAAAUUAUGCAUCCAUUUGUCAAGUCAGUGGCCCAUUUGGCAGGAGAGAGCCUCGAUAGCCAGCAAAGAAGCCACCGAUCAUGGUGGUUCCACCAUUCUCUGUCGGAAACACGAUUUAAUAGAGGGAAAAUGUUUGCGUGGCCACCAGGAAGCGAUUUCACCCAUUCUCAGUGUGCAUAGUGGUCGAAAACAGUGGAUUUUUGCUUGAGAUCGAAGAGCCGGAGCUAUUGAAGGAGACGGCUCCAAUUUGCAUCACUGGAGGUCCGAUCAGAGCGAGGGAAAGCUGGAAAAUGGACCAGCGACUCCAAGGAAGUCGAUCGCCACCUCCCUUGCAUCGGAUGGUGGUAGAAAACGGGCUGAGGGAGGAGGAGCGGUGUUGCCCUUUGUGUGCGUGCAGAAGAAGAAGAAGAAAGGAGAAAGAAAGAAAGAAAGUAGGUCGGUUUCUAGAUCAUUCUGGUUUGAUUCGAACCGAUUUGGUCUGAUUCAAUGAUCUGACUCGAUUUUGCUUAGUUUACGGGCUUUUCACUUGGUUUUCGAAAGUUUCAAACGGGUUCAAGGGUCCAGUUAAUUUAUUUUAUUUGAUUUAGUACUUAACGUCCAAUAUAGUUCUUAAAAAGUUAGAAAAUUUUCGGUUAGGAGUUGCGAUACCAUUCUUUGGGCUUGGGCCUAACUUGCAAAUUGGAUGCAGACAAGAUUGUGCAGUAUCUGCGACCCACACAGUUCAAAAAAAUUCCAAUUUUUGAUUUAAUAAAAAUUCAAAAGUUUCGUAAAUAAAAAUUCAAGAUAUAUCACCAGUCCUCUCAUUGUUUUUCCAUUCUCUCUUUUCUUUUCAUUACCAACAAAAGCACACCAUAUGGUUUUAUCAUAUUAUCCAUAUCAUAUUUCACCAGAUGCACAUGGGGCAUCGAUCUCCCAUACAUGGCUAAUGAUCCCGGACCGUCUUCACAAUCUCAUAGUGGCCCACUUCAUCCCAAUUCCACCCAGAAAUAAGCAUCAUUAUCACAUCAAGUAAACCAAACACUUCAUUCAAUAUAAUAAUCAUAUCGAUAAUUAAUAUGCAGCUCAUGAGUGUAAUCAUGGGUAUAGAAUUAUAUAACAUUUGUACAGUUGUAAAAUUAUACUUAUAUUUCAAUAAUAUUAUAAUAAUAUAUGAAAAUAAUAGCUGAGUAUUGAUUGUAUUUAGAUAGUAUAGGGUGAAUGAUGCAUGUAUACAGAUAAUGAUAUGCACCAUUUAUUAUUAUUCAUAGUGAUAGAAGAGAAAUAUGCUUUAAUUUAGAUUUUGAUUUGUAGGAGCAGUACACGAACUCGAUCGAUCAAGAUAAGACAUAUAUAUAAAGGAAUAUAACAUUAGACAAAUGAAUUUUUCUUAAAUAAUAAAUUUAAUAUAUAUUUACUUAAAAUGGGACUUUCCACUUGCUUCAAUAUUAACAAUCUAAUAUACUUAUUAGAAACUGCUGACACAGCCCAUCUAUCGAGUAAUCUAUCAAUUCAAAUAUCCAAUCGCUAUAAAUAACAACUUAUAUUCAAUUCACAGCUUAUAAAUUAAAAUGAAUCUUCGUUCUGAUCCUUGUACAUCCUUAUAUAUUAUUUUAGGUCAGUCUCUUAAAAUCAAUAAUUUCAAUUAACUUAUUGUAUCUUUCAAAAUAACCUAAUUUACCAUCACUUCAAUUCAUAUAAUAUAAUCUUAAUCUCAAAAUAAUUUCUACCUUUCCAUCAAUGGAUUUCCUUUUACUUAAUUUUUUUUAAUUAAUUUACUUCCUCAUUUGGUCCUUAAUUCUCAAUAGUCAUAAAAAAAUAUUUUUAUAUUUUUAUUUAUGAAUUUACCUCAAUCAAGAUUAUAAUUUCUUAAUUACAUAUAUUCCUUUCCUAUUUUUAUAGUCCAAUCUUAAUUUUUAAUUCAAAUCAAAUCACACCUUCAAAUCCUCCUUCUAUAGUUUAGUACAUAGCAUACAUCUAAUCAAAUCUACUUUAAAUCCAUAAUAUAUUUUCCAUCGAGAAUUAUUAUCAAAAUUCCUUACUUACCAAUUAAAAUAAGCUUUAAUUAAUUAAGGUCUUCUAAUCAAACACUAGUGAAAUAUAUUGUAAAAUACCCAAUAUUAGGUUAACUAGCCACAAAAUGCUAGGAAUUGAUUAAAUUUUCUGAAAAAUAACCGGAAAUAGUCCUAAUACCCAGAACACGUUGCCGGAAAAUGCUUCACUGGAGACGACUGCUUUGCUCGCGGGAGAGACAACCGGAGGUGGCUAGCGCACUGACAGUGGCAGGGAAGGAACCAGAUCGACUUGCCUUCAACCACUCUCGCCGGAACGAAGAGAGAGAGAGAGGAGGUAGUCGCUAAAGUCGACCGAAACAGGAGCCGCUGCUUGUCUGAGCUACUAUGAUCACUGGAGCUAUGAGCAGGAGGGACGCGACUUCGAACGAUGGUGGUCGACGGUUGACAUCGCAGAGAGCGGCGAUCGAAACUGAGAUUACAGGUGGGGCGUGAUCGAACUGAGAGAGGAAGAAAGCGGUUGGUGGCGCGAUGGAGGCUCGUCGAGCGUAUCUCAGAUGGCCGGAGACCGAGAGAGAGAGAGAGAGAGAGAGAGAGAGAGAGAGAGCGAGCUGGAGCUACGCUGGGUGAGGGAGAAGAAAGGAGAAGAAGAAACAAGGAAAAAGAAAGAAAUCUAGAGUUUCUAGAGCUUUCUAGGCCAUUCUGGUUUCAUUCGAACCAGUUUGAUUCAAUUCAAUGAUUUAGUUUGGUUUUGCUUGGUUUAUAUAUUUUCACUUGAUUUUCAGAUAAUUCAAACUGAUUUAUGGGUCCGAUUUAACAAUAAUAAGAUAUUUUAUUGUGUAAUUUCUUUGGUUAAAAUUUCAAUUAAAUUUUUAAAUGAAAAUUUUCUGAAAUUGAA
rnacentral:lncRNA from 1 species